rnacentral:rRNA from 1 species
UGACCUAGCGGCGGACGGGUGAGUAAUGCUUAGGAAUCUGCCUAUUAGUGGGGGACAACAUUCCGAAAGGAAUGCUAAUACCGCAUACGCCCUACGGGGGAAAGCAGGGGAUCUUCGGACCUUGCGCUAAUAGAUGAGCCUAAGUCGGAUUAGCUAGUUGGUGGGGUAAAGGCCUACCAUGGCGACAAUCUGUAGCGGGUCUGAGAGGAUGAUCCGCCACACUGGGACUGACACGCGGCCCACACUCCUACGGGAGGCAGCGGUGGGGAAUAUUGGACAAUGGGCGGAAGCCUGAUCCACCCGUGCCGCGUG